GCCUGGGUGGCUCAGUCGGUUGAGCGUCCGACUUCGGCUCAGGUCACGAUCUCAUGGUCCGCGAGUUCAAGCCCUGCAUCAGGCU
rfam:Felis catus isolate Cinnamon breed Abyssinian chromosome C1, whole genome shotgun sequence.